GCGGCGGUGGCGGAACUGGUAUACGCGACGGACUCAAAAUCCGUUGCCCGCAAGGGCGUGUGGGUUCGAUUCCCACCCGCCGCA
rnacentral:tRNA from 3 species